AACACGUGGGCAAUCUGCCCUGCACUCUGGGACAAGCCCUGGAAACGGGGUCUAAUACCGGAUACUGACCCGCUUGGGCAUCCAAGCGGUUCGAAAGCUCCGGCGGUGCAGGAUGAGCCCGCGGCCUAUCAGCUUGUUGGUGAGGUAAUGGCUCACCAAGGCGACGACGGGUAGCCGGCCUGAGAGGGCGACCGGCCACACUGGGACUGAGACACGGCCCAGACUCCUACGGGAGGCAGCAGUGGGGAAUAUUGCACAAUGGGCGAAAGCCUGAUGCAGCGACGCCGCGUGAGGGAUGACGGCCUUCGGGUUGUAAACCUCUUUCAGCAGGGAAGAAGCGAAAGUGACGGUACCUGCAGAAGAAGCGCCGGCUAACUACGUGCCAGCAGCCGCGGUAAUACGUAGGGCGCGAGCGUUGUCCGGAAUUAUUGGGCGUAAAGAGCUCGUAGGCGGCUUGUCGCGUCGGUUGUGAAAGCCCGGGGCUUAACCCCGGGUCUGCAGUCGAUACGGGCAGGCUAGAG
rnacentral:rRNA from 1 species